GCCAGUAGUCAUAUGCUUGUGUUAAAGAUUAAGCCAUGCAUGCCUAAGAACAAACCAUCUUACGGUGAAUCUACGGACGGCUCAGAAAUUUUGGAGAAUCAGUUUGGUGAUGGAAAAACCAUGAAUUGGAUAACCCUGUUAAUGUAGAGCUAAUACAUGCACAAAUUCAAGGCCCGAUUGGGAAACCGAAAGGGUCGCACUUGUCCAUUUAUUACCAUCUUUCAAGCUUUGGGCAACACUCUCGAUUGGUGAGAAUCUUGUGGAGAAAACUGGUCAAGCAAAACCGGGGAGGAAGCAAAAACUGAAAAGUUAAAGCGAAGACCUCGGUGGAGUUGAUCGGGCAACCCUUAUAAGUUGCUCCACAUUCUCGGCAGCAGCAAUGUUGCGACCGGUCGAGGGGUCCAAGGUAAGAGGAAUCAAGACAAUUCAAGGCAGAUCGCACAGCCCUUGCGGCAGGCGACACACCAUUCGACUCCAAAACCUAUCAACUGAGAUGGUAGGUCGUGGCCUACC
rnacentral:rRNA from 1 species